rnacentral:rRNA from 1 species
UACGAAGGGGCAAGCGUUGUUCGGAAUUGCUGGGCGUAAAGCGUGCGCAGGCGGUUAUGCAAGACAGAUGUGAAAUCCCCGGGCUCAACCUGGGAACUGCAUUUGUGACUGCAUAGCUGGAGUGCGGCAGAGGGGGAUGGAAUUCCGCGUGCAGCAGUGAAAUGCGUAGAUAUGCGGAGGAACACCGAUGGCGAAGGCAAUCCCCUGGGCCUGCACUGACGCUCAUGCACGAAAGCGU